rnacentral:rRNA from 1 species
AAAUUGAAGAGUUUGAUCAUGGCUCAGAUUGAACGCUGGCGGCAGGCCUAACACAUGCAAGUCGAACGGUAACAGGAAGCAGCUUGCUGCUUCGCUGACGAGUGGCGGACGGGUGAGUAAUGUCUGGGAAGCUGCCUGAUGGAGGGGGAUAACUACUGGAAACGGUGGCUAAUACCGCAUAACGUCGCAAGACCAAAGAGGGGGACCUUCGGGCCUCUUGCCAUCAGAUGUGCCCAGAUGGGAUUAGCUAGUUGGUGAGGUAACGGCUCACCAAGGCGACGAUCCCUAGCUGGUCUGAGAGGAUGACCAGCCACACUGGAACUGAGACACGGUCCAGACUCCUACGGGAGGCAGCAGUGGGGAAUAUUGCACAAUGGGCGCAAGCCUGAUGCAGCCAUGCCGCGUGUAUGAAGAAGGCCUUAGGGUUGUAAAGUACUUUCAGCGGGGAGGAAGGUGUUGUGGUUAAUAACCGCAGCAAUUGACGUUACCCGCAGAAGAAGCACCGGCUAACUCCGUGCCAGCAGCCGCGGUAAUACGGAGGGUGCAAGCGUUAAUCGG